GAUGAUGAUUGAAUCUAGGUAAUGAUCCCUGAGGUAAAGGAUGAUGAUUGAAUCUAGGUAAUGAUCCCUGAGGUAAGGAUGAUGAUUGAAUCUAGGUAAUGAUCCCUGAGGUAAAGGAUGAUGAUUGAAUCUAGGUAAUGAUCCCU